CCGACUGCUAUCAGAGUGAGAUUAAGCCAUGCGAGUUAACGUAGCAAUACGUGGCACACGGCUCAGUAACACGUAGUCAACAUAACCAAAGGACGUGGAUAAACUCGGGAAACUGAGGCUAAACCGCGAUAGAUCAAGAUACCUGGAAUGGUUUUUGAUCAAAAUCUAUAUGGCCUUUGGAUUGGACUGCGUCCGAUCAGGCUGUUGGUGAGGUAAUGGCCCACCAAACCUGUAACCGGUACGGGCUCUGAGAGGAGGAGCCCGGAGAUGGGUACUGAGAAAAGGACCCAGGCCCUAUGGGGCGCAGCAGGCGCGAAACCUCUGCAAUAGGCGAAAGCCUGACAGGGUUACUCUGAGUGACUUUCGCUAAGAAAGUCUUUUGACACCUCUAAAAAUGGUGUAGAAUAAGGGGUGGGCAAGUCUGGUGUCAGCCGCCGCGGUAAUACCAGCACCCCGAGUGGUCGGGACGAUUAUUGGGCCUAAAGCAUCCGUAGCCGGUUCUGCAAGUCCCCCGUUAAAUCCAGCUGCUCAACAGAUGGGCCGCGGAGGAUACUACAGAGCUAGGAGGCAGGAGAGGCAAGCGGUACUCAGUGGGUAGGGGUAAAAUCCGUUGAUCCAUUGAAGACCACCAGUGGCGAAGGCGGCUUGCCAGAACGCGCUCGACGGUGAGGGAUGAAAGCUGGGGGAGCAAACCGGAUUAGAUACCCGGGUAGUCCCAGCUGUAAACGAUGCAGACUCGGUGAUGGGCUGGCCUUGUGCCAACCCAGUGCCGCAGGGAAGCCGUUAAGUCUGCCGCCUGGGGAGUACGGUCGCAAGACUGAAACUUAAAGGAAUUGGCGGGGGAGCACCACAAGGGGUGAAGCCUGCGGUUC
rnacentral:rRNA from 1 species